GCAUAGUCAAUAGGCAUAUGCGGUGAUAAGUGUAUUGGGCCUACAGCACAAACCUCAUUGCUUCAUAACUGUUUUUAAUUGCUUAACGUUGCAUAAGCUUCCGUUUUACAAGUCACGAUAAAAAUACAAAUCUGAGCAGUAGAUCUCGGUUUGCAUUCGACUCAGAAAGAUAUCUUGACUCAAAAAGAUUGGUGACCAUUGCUAUAGGCUAUACAAUUGUGGGAGAAAACAAUGUUUUGAUGGCCUCUUAAUAAGAAGAGGACACCAUCAGCUUUCUAUAGGACAAUGACCCAACACACCUCCAGACUGCGUAAGGGCUAUUUGACCAAGGAGAGAGAUGGAGUGCUGCAUCAGAUGACCUGACCUCCACAAUCACCCGACCUCAACCCAAUUGAGAUGGUUUGGGAUGAGUUGGACUGCAGAGUGAAGGGAAAGCAGCCAACAAGUGCUCAGCAUAUGUGGGAACUCCCUGAAAAAUGUUGGAAAAGCAUUCCUCAUGAAGCUGGUUGAGAGAAUGCCAAGAGUGUGCAAAGCUGUCAUCAAGGCAAAGGGUGGCUACUUUGAUGAAUAUAAAAUAUAUUUAGAUUUGAAUUUUUUUUUGGUUAGUACAUGAUUCCAUGUGCUAUUUCACAGUUGAUGUCUUCACUAUUAUUCUACAAUUAAAAAAAUAGUACAAAUAAAGAAAAACCCUUGAAUGAG